rnacentral:lncRNA from 1 species
GAACAAUCAGGGAAGAAGGAACGCAAGACGGUGGAAGCAUGCCAACCUAUUAAACCGCAAGUCAGAGAUCAAACCAUAUCCUCAUUUGAAAAUGGAAAAAGAAAAGAAAUGGAGGCAUUGUGUGAUAUUUGCCUAAAUAUAACUAAAGAGAUCCAUUUAUUUUUAGUGUUUGAUUAAAAACCCUCAAAGGAAAAGAGAAAUUUUGAUCUUUGAGAAGAGCUGUUUCAUCACAGGGUGAAGUUGUUUCCUGAGCCCUUUGAUCUGAAAUGACCUUGCGACCUGGAACCAGCAGACAGCCUGAGGGAGGCAGUGCAUGUUCUGAGCCAGGGCCUCAGGAGGCCUGCAGCUGCCAUUCUGCUUCUGUUGGAACAUGACCUCCUUGAGAACACUCCCAGGCCUGACUGCAGGGUGGGGAGACCACACAGAGCAGAGCCGAGCCACCGGGAUGAGGCCCCUAGAUCACCCAGCUCCCAGCUGACCACAGAUCAUGAGUGAUCCCGUUUCUCCCUAGGUCAAGGGUGAUGUUUUGCUCAGAGAAAACUGAAGUUUGGAUUGUUCCAGUCCUGCAUCACAUCCUGUUUCAGGCUGCCCUAAAACAAAACCAGAAACAACCAUCACCACAAAACACCAUACCUUCAAUAGUCUUCUCAGUGUUCAGAAUAAAGGCUCUGGUUUUCCCUUGGGCUCAAUUUU